AAAAUUCCAUGCCAAGUCUUAUUCAUUCCAUCAUAUGCCAUUAGCCUUCUAGCAAAAAACAAAAAAAAAUUCAACAUGAUACACAACCAAACAAGUCAUACCAUAUAUAUACACACUAUUAAACAUAAGUCGACCUUAGCAUGACAAACACUUUCAAUCCAAAUUAGCAUCAACUAAGCAAUAAUUAACUUUAUCAUAGCAUUGCAAAUACAUUAACAUAAUAACAAUUCCU
rnacentral:lncRNA from 1 species